AAGGGGACAAACUGUGGUCGCCCUCUCUAUUGCACUGGAGAGAGAGAUCCCACCGUCUUCAUCACGUUCCAAGGUGGUGUGGGGGAGGAACCUUCGUAGGACUCUUGCAAGAAUGAGGCAACAGAGCAGAUCCACCAGGGUUAAGUAGUGUCCCUUAAUUGUGGGGUCAGGACACGGAACAUAACCGAGAUGAACAUGGACUGUGUGCGGAACGGGCCUCUGAAAUUGGAAACUUGGCCGGUGUUGUGGGGUGUGUGUGUGUGGUGUUGUGUUAUGUGUAGAGAUGUUAUCUGAUGGGGCCAGAGCAUGCAACUAGAGUGCAAGGCAAUAAAGUCAUUUGCACCAGGACCACUUAGGCUAAGUAACACAGCAGCCUAAAGACUACAUAAGUCUCCCUGGGGUUUCAGAAAAGAUCCUGUGCCUUUCAGUUUUAAAGUAAUUGUGUGUGUGAAGUGUGUGUGUGUGUGUGUGUGUGUGUGUGUGUGUGUGUGUGAGUGAGUGUGAGUGUGUAUGUGUGGUGAAUGGGUGGCCGGGGACUCAAGGGGGAACUUGUGUUCUUUUUUUUUUUGAGAAAGAGAAAUAAAAUGUCUUCUUUUGUUUUGAUUAUAUUGGAAUAAUUCCUGCUUCUGUGCAAGAUUCACAGACCCAUCAAAAUAAGGAGGAAAUAGUUUUGCAAAAAUGAUUCAAAAUACGACUACAGUUAGAUGCACAACUAUGAUUUUUUUUUUCUGCAGGCAUGGAUCCUUAUGUAAACAGUCAAAUCAAAUUCAUUCGAAAGAACUGUUUUGUAUUAAAGAUUUCUGUUGACAUUUUCAAAAAUGAAGACCUUUUACUGAAAUAUCAGAAAAUGACCAAGAUCUCCCUAAUGUGUAAAGUUUAGGUUAGCUUCAUUCUGUAGGUUAAGAUUAUUUAUUCUCAAAACAAUUAAGGUAAAUUUACAGUUCCGUUAAUUGCAGUCAAUGUGUGGGCAAUUAAAAAACAAUCAUGCACACUUACGGUCACAUUUCUUUUUUUUUUAAAUCACGAAAUAUGGAUUCCUAAUGUAAACAUAAAGUUGUUAUCAAGUGAGCAAUGUGAAAAUAAUUGUUCAUAAUUCUGCCUUGGUGUCUUUGCCAGUUAAUACGGUAACCAUUUAACCACUCCAUAGCUAUUUUACCUUUUCCCCCAUGCUAUGUUGUUAUGAUUUUUCAUUAGAAGUACACAGUUCUCAAUAAUUCCAGAAAUUUGAUCUACAUAUUUUUACACAAGUGAAAUGGAAAUGUGCGACAAUAGACUCAAAAGAUGAAAAGUUAAUCUUGCAUUUGUUUUGAUAGGGAUUCUGACGUAAAUCUUAAAUAAGGGAUUUUGUUUAUAGAAAAAACUUUUAUUGAUAAAUCUGAUUUUAAGGUGGGCACACUGAUGCUAUUUCUGUUAUACUUUCUUGUUGAUUAUAUUGUUGGCUUAAAAGGCAUUCUUCAAGAUUGUAGUCAACAUUUGUCAUACGUGAAUUUUUUGUGAUUAGUUAUUUGAGAAAAUCUAUUUUGAUCCUCUUGAAUGUGAAUACAUAUGCUCAGUAAGGGGAAAGUAUAUAUUUACUGAGUGGAAAACAAAUUAUUAAGUGAUUAAUAAUUUGUUUUCCACUCAGUAUAGUAAUAUAUAGUUUAUAAUAAUAUAUAGUAAUACUAUAUAUUACUAUAUAUUACUCAGUAGAGUAAUAUAUAGUAAUAUAUAGUAAAAAGUAGGUAAUAUAUAGUUUAUUAAACCAGUAUUUACACCAAAAUAUUGCUAGAAUUUCAUUUCAGUUGUCAAGUCUUCAACACAGGAUUAUCCUUGAGGAAAUAUUUGUGCUACUUAGGUCUUCUCUCCUUUUCCAAAGAAUUUAUUGUAGUAUUUGCUAUGUAUACAUACAGAAAUGAGAAACAUUCAGCUCAUUAUUACCUUGGCAUAUCCUGAUAUUUGCUUACAGUUAUCUUUAUUGCUAUGAUCUGACUUUUGUUGUGUAGCAAAUUGCUGUGUACAAAUAAAGCUGUGCUUGUGGAUUUUUCUGUGGUGAUUUGUUGAUACCUCUUUUGAUUUGCACUUCCAGAAUGCAACUUUAGAAAGGUAGGUUGAGUCUGAGUGUCAACUGUGUCAUUUUUGAGGUUUGUAGAGUCUACCAAAGUGUAUUCAAAGUCCCUAAUCCAUUUUCUAAACCUUAUGAAAGGGAAGAUAGAAGUGGGAGUGAGAAGUAUUUAUUUAGAUUACCUCAAAACAGAAAAAUUAUUUCAAUUAGUAAAACAGAUGUUAUUUUAUUUUGACUGUUGUUCUUAGAAACAAUAAAAAAGUAUAAGAAUUCAGAGAAAACAUCUUGGAAAGGUAUUUAUUGGAAAGCAGAACAAUUUGAUUAUUUACCGUUUUACAUUAUAUUUUAAGGGACUAUUUCAUAGCUAUAAGACAAAAGAUUGAGGGUUAUAAAUAGAAGGGUAAACCAUCUCCUUUUCCUUACCUUCAAUAUACUCUAUAAUCUGCCUUUCUUUGCAGUGGUACUCCACAGGCCUUGUUCUAAACUUUGGCUUCUCUUCAUCGCUUUGUACUUAUUCCUGCCUGGAAUGAUUUGUGUAGCCCUAACAUUCUCUUGUGGCCAUAGACCUUUGCUGUAUGACAGUUAAAAAUACAUAGAGAAAAUUAAGUUCUAUGUGAUGAUAAGUGUGUUACUUUUUUUAUGUAUCUCUUCACGUCUUCAGGUAUUUUGUUAUAGGCCCUUUACCCUAAUUGAUUUUAAUGGUAGAAAUCUCAGAUACCCUGGGAUGCAGCUGAAGGAUAACUUCUGGGUAGAUUUCCUGAGAAUCUCAGAAACUCUAGGCAGUGCACUGUUGUGCUUUGUGUAAGGUUACUAUUGGCCACGGGGAACGAGCUUUUUUUCUUGUAUACUGCCAGCUUAUAUACUCUUGGUGUAAACAGACACUCAUAGGACAAUUCUGGAAAGGUAUCAAAGACCAUUCAAGCAAGAAGUUGUAAGUAAAGUAAAUUAAUAUUACAUGAGGAUUCAGGCUAGCCAGUAUUUCUAGCUGAGAGACUAGUAAAACUACUUAAAAUGAAAACAAGAAUAUGGUCCAUCAGUUAUAACUAUCAUGUGUGGUUCUGGAAAUGGGGGAGUAAGUAGCCAAUGUGCUUUUCUUAGUGAUACAGCAAGAAAAGCUCAUUGUGACUUUAUUUUACUGAAUUUUGUUACAACCAGUUGAGUUUCAUGUGUCUGGUUUCCCAUUUGAGUAUAAUGAAACCUUAUUAAUUCAGUAUCAUUAAUUUAAAUUUAUUAUGAUUAAGCAUCAGUGUUUGGUAGGUAAGUUUUGCAUCAGUACUGGAUGUGAAGAAAAGGUUCUGCUAAUCUAAUUAACUCAUAGUGCUGUCAGGGAUAAUAUACUUUAGAGAACAAAUCCUUUUCAGGACUUAGUGAACAGCAUGAAAAUUCAUGUUGUUAGUUACAGAUCAGGUUGAUUCAUUAAUAUUUCCUUUCUGGACUUGUGUAAGGUAAAUAUACCACAAAUUCAUAGCUUUUAAAACAUCUUGUAAUCUUAAGGCUUAAGGCAACACCUUAGAGUUUAAGAAAAUUCCAGUGGUUCUAAGUGUUAUCAAUAAAACAUAAGAAGAACAGUUUUUAUUGAAGUGUGGGGAAGAAUCCUUACUUUAAUGGACAAUAUAUUUUAAGACACUCAUUUAAAAUGUGAAAAAUUAGCACCUUAGAAUCUAGCUAAUGAGGUUUACUCUGUCAUUGUUUAUGUUAGUUGAAAAAUAUGCCUUUUAAAAAUCUAUUUGUUUAUGACCUGUUUUGAUUUAUAAUUUUAGAGAUAUGAAGUAUGACUUGGAUAUACUGUGCAUACAUAACUUUUAUAAUUGGCCUCUUAUGCUUUUCCUUAUCUUUUUUGUGUCAGCAUGUGUAAAGUUGAAACUAAUUAUAAAACCAAAUAAAGAAUCCAUUUAGAGUGACCUCAUUGGAAAAUAGCAUUGUUCUAGAGAUAUUCUCCUUUUAUCAAAUCCAGUUAAAUUACCAUUUUGAACGCUUUGUGAAAUUGUAUUGGACACCUCCAGAAAUAUGAAGAAAGGUGAUGAUUCAUGAUAUGGAAUUGGGAUAAUUACUAAAAAUUUACUUUAAAUCAACUUUUUCAGCAACUUUCUGGUAUUGUAUUCUUGUGCUAUUUAAGGAUAUGGUGAGGUUUUGAGUCCCACUUUAGUGUCUUUUUAGGUUAUGUAUUAUAACUCAUCAGGCUCCUUUUCCCAUAUGUAAAGGACAAUGAUUAUACCUACCACUCUGAGGACUAGAGAAUCAUUGAAUGAGAUAUGGGAGUUUGAAUGGUUAUAGUUGGUCUUUCCUUUUGGGAAUGGUGAUUCAGUGACUGCUAAGACAGAAUUACAAAUGACAACAUGUUAUGUAUUUUCAGGUCACUCGAGAAUAGUAAGAACCAGUAAUAUUGAAAACCAUGAAUGCCUUGGGUCUACAACAGUAGCUUAUGAUGACGCUUAUUUGUAUGUUUAAAGAAAUGGAGACAGAAUAGAUAGAAUGGGACAGGUAGGACUAGACUACAGGUACUUUCUGCAGUUAUGAAACCAGAAGAAGGAUGUUUGGCCUUCAGAGAGUUUUAUUUAUAUGAAACUAAAUUAAGAAAAUAACAUCAACUCUAAAAGUUUAAGACUUAAAGAGAGUCUCUAUCUGUAUUGCCCCAGUGUUUUUCUUCUUUUUUGGUGGUGGGGGAGGGGGUGAGUUUUGUGUAUGGGACAGAAGGAAUUCCUAGUUCUUAUUUUAAAUGUUUGGAUAUUUUUUAUGUAACAUUAGAAUAUUUUGUAAAUUCUAUGUCUGUUUUUAAACUAUGUCUGUCAGGUUGCUGUGUAUUCUUGGAAAUGCUUAAAAUGAUUUGUUACUAAGCAUAUUUAAAGUUAUAGUUUGGAAAUGUGGUCAUUGGAAUGGUGGUAUCUAGCUCAAUGCCUUGCUUUUUAUGCACUGAAUAAAUUUUUGUUGAAUAAUUUGGACAUUGCAGAGUUACCUUCUGAAACAAUAAAUGGAGAUAAAUUAUAUAUUUAUUUUGAGUCAUUAUGUCAAGUUCUGAUUCCUUGUAAAUGGUUCUGCUUGGUGACUGGUGAAUGGAGUGCUUCCAUCUCCAGCCAAUCAUGGAAGGGAGCAUGAGGUGAGGAGAAGGCAUUAAUAAGGUGACACAGUUAGGUUGAGGGCAAUUUUGUUGGUCAUUUGAACUGACUUUAUUCUUGCUAAAUUUAAAAGGCUGAAUUCUUUUCACCUUAGCUUAUUAGCUUGAACUUGAAAGCUUUCUUUCAGUUUUUGUUGUAUUUCCCCUUAGGCUAAUCAAUUUUUGACAAGUGAGAAAAGAUAUGUUAAUCACUCAGUGUUGGAUUUAUUGGGUGAGUUAUAUAUUUUAAUUAUUUCCCAAACCUGGACUUGAAGAGAAAAUGACCUGGCAUAUUUGAUAGAAAACAACAACAACUCACCCAAAACAAAAUCCAGAAAACCCCAAAUUAAAAAAAAAAAAAAAGAAGAAGAAGAAGAAGAAAAAAACAUUUCUUUGUAAUAUAGAAAUGUUGCCUUUUCCCAUAUAAUCUCCUGCCUUC